UGGUGUUCCUUCUCUGUCCCUCACCACGAC
rnacentral:piRNA from 1 species